rnacentral:lncRNA from 1 species
AUACACGCAUGGCCUAAAAUUGGUCCAAAAGAAAGUGAAAAUCUCCGUGACUUUGUUGAUUAUUUGAGCUGUGUAGAAUCAGCUAUGCCAUAUAUACAAGGUCUACAAACACUGAAUGACUGUGUGGAAAACCAAAGGAUCACAGUCAAACUACCAGACUGGUUGACUUCUCGCUGGAAUAGAGAGGCCACAAUCAAGAUCAUCACAACAUUUUUCCUGAGUUCAAACACUUUGUAAGAUUCCUCAACAUGGAAGCUAGAAUUGCGUGCAACCCUAUUACAUCAUUAUAUGCAGUAAAGCCAACUGAGCAAGAAAGAUCAAAACAAACCGAAAGAGAACAGUCCAAACAUCAUCGAAAUCAAAACUUCAGUGUGAAGACUUUUACCACAAACACAAGAGAGAAGACAAGCAUUGCAUGCAUUUUCUGCAAAAGGACAGGCCAUACACUCCAUAAGUGUCGCAAAAUUAUGGAAAAACCAGUCGAAGAAAGGGUUAACUUUGUGAGAUUGGAGAAGUUGUGUUUUGGCUGCCUGAAGAUUGGCCAUAACUCCAAAGCUUGUACAUUCAGGAGUGUGUGUGCUUUAUGUGACAAACGCCAUCCCACUUGCUUACAUCGUGAUUAUGGUAAGAAAGAACAAGAAGUAAAGAAGAAAGAAGACAGGUCAAAUGAAAACAAAGAAGACAAAACCCAUCAAUCAGAAUGUACAGAAACACAGCUCGCUACUUCUAAUCGAGUUGUUCAAGAGAAGAGCAACACUCAUACUUCUUCCAUUGUUCCAGUCUACGUCUCCUCACAAAAUGAACCAGAAAAGGAAAUUUUAGUUUAUGCUUUACUUGAUAGUCAGAGCGACACCACCUUCAUCUUGAAAGAUACAGCAGAAAAAUUGUGUGUCAAACAAGAACCAAUAAAACUAAAGAUUUCAACAAUAACAUCAAAAUCAAAGGUGGUAAAAAGCCAAAGAAUGCAAGGAUUGCAAGUAAGAGGCAUCAACUCUGACACUAAAAUCACACUUCCAAUAACUUAUACCAGAGAAUACAUACCAGCAAACAGAUCCCAC